ACAAAAUUCGAGCAUCGAGUUCUACCAUUGGUCAUGAAUGUAAAAGGCAGAAGUACAAGUCUUGUAGGUAUAUGAACCUUCAAUCUUGCUUAAAUUUUUCAACAUUGUUGUUUAGAUUUAUGUUGCAUCGGCUCUAAAUGAUGGCUAAGAAAUGUCAUUAGCAUCUCUGUUUGGGGAGCUAUGGAAAUUGGAGCCUUCGGCUGGAGAGAAGAAGACAGUUGGAGAAGCUAAAUCCACUGGUUAUUUUCUCUAUUGAAUUAUAUGCUAGUGCAUUUGAAGGUUUGAGCUGCCAACUGAUGAUGCUGAGUAUGAGGAAGAGGAACUGCAACUUUCAUUGAUUGGAGAGUAUGUUAAUGCUUUUUUUGGACUGGUCAUAAUUGAUUCAGUACCGUAUGGUUUGAUCAGCAAGGAAGUUUGCUUAACUAUGUGAGAAUAGACAAUUUCGCUGACUCCUCUCAUACCGCUCUCUAUUAUGCAUGAUAAGACUCUUGUAUUUGCACAUCGCGUUUCUUGUUGGCAUUUGUACGUUAAUCCAUUUCUGCCCGAGAUCGAGUCAUAAUUGAUUGAGUAAUAUAUGCUUUUUUUCGUUCAAGGAGCUCCAUGGUACGAGAACCAUAGAUAACAUACUAAUUAG
rnacentral:lncRNA from 1 species